GAUGAACGCUGGCGGCGUGCCUAAUACAUGCAAGUCGAGCGAACAGACGAGGAGCUUGCUCCUCUGACGUUAGCGGCGGACGGGUGAGUAACACGUGGAUAACCUACCUAUAAGACUGGGUUAACUUCGGGAAACCGGAGCUAAUACCGGAUAAUAUAUUGAACCGCAUGGUUCAAUAGUGAAAGACGGAUUUGCUGUCACUUAUAGAUGGAUCCGCGCCGCAUUAGCUAGUUGGUAAGGUAACGGCUUACCAAGGCAACGAUGCGUAGCCGACCUGAGAGGGUGAUCGGCCACACUGGAACUGAGACACGGUCCGGACUCCUACGGGAGGCAGCAGUAGGGAAUCUUCCGCAAUGGGCGAAAGCCUGACGGAGCAACGCCGCGUGAGUGAUGAAGGUCUUCGGAUCGUAAAACUCUGUUAUUAGGGAAGAACAAAUGUGUAAGUAACUAUGCACGUCUUGACGGUACCUAAUCAGAAAGCCACGGCUAACUACGUG
rnacentral:rRNA from 1 species